rnacentral:rRNA from 1 species
UGUUACGACUUCAUCCCAGUUACCACUCAUACCUUAGGGCCCUGCCUCCUUGCGGUUGGCACGGACACUUCGGGUACAAGCGACUCCCAUGAUGUGACGGGCGGUGUGUACAAGGCCCGGGAACGUAUUCACGGCGCCGUAGCUGAUGCGCCAUUACUAGCGAUUCCGGCUUCAUGUAGGCGAGUUGCAGCCUACAAUCCGAACUGGGCUCAGUUUUAGUGAUUUCCUCCACCUCGCGAUUUCGGAUCUUUCUGUACUGAGCAUUGUAGUACGUGUGCAGCCCUGGGCGUAAGGGCCAUCCUGACUUGACGUCGUCCCCACCUUCCUCCCCGUUUCACAGGGCAGUCUGAACAGAGUGCCCCAGCACCAUUUUAUCUCCAUUGGGUUUCCCGGAUUGGAAUGGAAACAAAAUGGUACUGGGUAGCAACAGUUCACAAGGGUUGCGCUCGUUGCGGGACUUAACCCAAGA